UACAGAGGUCCCAAGCGUUGUUCGGAUUCAUUGGGCGUAAAGCGCGUGUAGGCGGUCCGGUAAGUCCGCUGUGAAAGUCGGGGGCUCAACCCUCGGAUGCCGGUGGAUACUGUCGGGCUUGAGUACGGAAGAGGCGAGUGGAAUUCCUGGUGUAGCGGUGAAAUGCGCAGAUAUCAGGAGGAACACCAAUUGCGAAGGCAGCUCGCUGGGACGUUACUGACGCUGAGACGCGAAAGCGUGGGGAGCAAACAGG
rnacentral:rRNA from 1 species